rnacentral:other from 1 species
AGAAUCCUGCGAUGCUCGUUACGGUUUUAAGUUGUUUUAAACCAAUGACUGUUUUCCGGGAGACCCAUAUUGAAACGCAGCUGACAUGCCCCCGAAAGGGGAUCUCAAAAACGUUUCUGCGGUCACCCACCUGCUAAGGCGGGUUUGGAACACGUAAAUCGGACGGCAAAGCGGGUUUUAA